GUGCUUAACACAUGCAAGUCGAGUGCGCGUGCCGUAGCAAUACGGCAUGGCGCACGGCGCACGGGUGCGUAACACGUGGGUAACCUGCCCUUUGGUGGGGAAUAACUCCGGGAAACCGAAGCUAAUUCCGCAUAAGAUCCGCAAGGAUGAAAGCCGUAAGGCGCCGAUGGAGGGGCCCGCGCCCGAUUAGCUAGUUGGUGAGGUAAUGGCUCACCAAGGCUUUGAUCGGUAGCUGGUCUGAGAGGAUGGCCAGCCACACUGGAACUGAGACACGGUCCAG
rnacentral:rRNA from 1 species